CGGCGAAGGGAGAGUAACGCGUGGAUAUCUGCCCUUGGCUCUAGGAUAGCUACGGGAAACUGUAGGUAAUACUGGAUAAUAUCUCCGGAUCAAAGGUGUGAUUCCGGCCGAGGAUGAGUCCGCUUCCUAUUAGAUUGUUGGUGGGGUAAUGGCCUACCAAGUCAAAGAUGGGUACCGGGUGUGAGAGCAUGGCCCGGCUCACUGGGACUGAGACACUGCCCAGACGUCUACGGACGGCUGCAGUCGAGAAUCUUCCGCAAUGGACGAAAGUCUGACGGAGCGACGCCGCGUGCGGGAUGAAGGCCUUCGGGUUGUAAACCGCUGUCAGCUGGGAGGAAAUGCUAUGGGGUUCUCUCCAUAGUCUGACCGAUCUUCAGAGGAAGUACGGGCUAAGUACGUGCCAGCAGCCGCGGUAACACGUACCGUACGAACGUUAUUCGGAAUCACUGGGCUUAAAGAGUCCGUAGGCGGCUACGUAGGUCAGGUGUGAAAUCCCACGGCUCAACCGUGGAACUGCGUUCUAAACUGGGUAACUUGAGUAAGAUAGAGGUGUGCGGAACUUCCGGUGGAGCGGUGAAAUGUGUUGAUAUCGGAGGGAACACCGUUGGCGAAAGCGGCACACUGGGUCUUAACUGACGCUGAGGCACGAAAGCCAGGGGAGCAAACGGGAUUAGAUACCCCGGUAGUCCUGGCUGUAAA
rnacentral:rRNA from 1 species